UUCAAACUUAUCAGUAUAGCGGGGCACCGAGCGUGUGCAGUCUAAUUUUUUUGUAAACGAAAAUCAGAAGACUGCAACUAUUUAUUUUGCACAUUAUCUCCAAAAUGCAGAUAUUUAUAAUAUGGUCUAUGAUUUUUUGGAGUCUUUCCAUCACUAACAAACAAAUGCAGGCUUGCGCUUCGAACGCCACCGAUUAUUCCAAUAGAACCAUCACUAAAGAGGAAGUAAAAUCGGCCUUGGCGACAUUCACGACCGAUUCCGCUAUAAUGAAACUGGUUGAUGACGACUGUGCAAUGUGCUCAUUGUUUAAGUGUCUGCUGGAUCAAGCCGCGACCUGCACAGAUUUUCUUGCUCAAACAUUUAAAAGCAUCAUCCCACUUGUGCUGAGCAAUAAUUGCGAAUUUUGUGCUCCAAGAGAAAAGGCAAUUGUGGACAUCGUCAAGAGUUACAUGCACCAGCGAUUUCCCAAAGAAUUUGCAAGAAUAUUGAAACUCUACGUACCAUAAAAUUGUAAGCCCCUCUCCUCAUUUGCCAAAUUCCACACUCCACAGUAAAUUGGAACGAGAUUUAUUUUUGUACAAAAAAAAUAAAAAUCUGAAUUAAUAUUAAAAUAUGAGUU